rnacentral:lncRNA from 1 species
GCCGUACAGAAUAAGGGCUCAUUAAAUUCCACUGAUUUAGUGACUGAUUGUUUAGUGUAUUUCCCUUCCUCAAGAGCGGAAAAUGUGUCUUUUCCUUCCUCACAGUCUGACCCGCAACCGCUUCUGUCAGUGCUCAGCGUAAAGCAGACCCUGAGUCCCUGCCCUGGAUGAUGGUGACGAGAGUCUUGGCAGAACUUGGACUUCCCUUGGGGGCACGGUUCGUGGAAGACAUCUACAACAGCAAACCCAUCUAGGGAGGCUUGAGGAAGACACCGUUUGGGAAAAAUCCAUCCUGGAAACCGUCUCCACUGGAGCUCAGAGCUGUGAAGGAACUUGAAGCACUUCACAAUUUGCCAUUCCUAGAGGAGGGGAGAAGAAGACCUGGAUUGGCCCCAAUUUUACCAAAGGAAGGACCGGGGGGUAAGUACGCCGGACGGUUGGUCCCCAUGCCUUAAUCGCCUUGUGAAA